rnacentral:rRNA from 1 species
UAGUCCUAGCUGUAAACGAUGAGCACUGGGUUGGGGGGACUCUCACAUCCUCCCGGCCGUAGCGAAAGCGUUAAGUGCUCCGCCUGGGGAGUAUGGUCGCAAGAUUAAAACUCAAAGGAAUUGGCGGGGGCCUGCACAAGCGGUGGAGCAUGUGGUUUAAUUCGACGCAACGCGCAGAACCUUACCAGCUUUUGACAUCCUGGUCGCGGAUUUGGGAGACCAUUUCCUUCAGUUCGGACUGGACCAGUGACAGGUGCUGCAUGGCUGUCGUCAGCUCGUGUCGUGAGAUGUUGGGUUAAGUCCCGCAACGAGCGCAACCCUCAUCCUUAGUUGCCAGCAUUUAGUGGGCACUCUAAGGAAACUGACCGGUGAUAAGCCGGAGGAAGGUGGGGAUGACGUCAAGUCCUCAUGGCCCUUACAAGCUGGGCUACACACGUGCUACAAUGGCGAUGACAGUGAGCAGCUAACCGCGAGGGCAAGCUAAUCUCUAAAAGUCGUA